GGAGCGGUAUCGAAGUGGUCAUAACGAGCCUGACUCGAAAUCAGGUUGUCGGGCAACCGGCACGUGGGUUCAAAUCCCACCCGCUCCG
rnacentral:tRNA from 1 species